rnacentral:rRNA from 1 species
UACGGAGGGUGCAAGCGUUAUCCGGAUUCACUGGGUUUAAAGGGUGCGUAGGUGGGCAAGUAAGUCAGUGGUGAAAUCUCCGGGCUUAACCCGGAAACUGCCAUUGAUACUAUUUGUCUUGAAUACUGUGGAGGUCAGCGGAAUAUGUCAUGUAGCGGAUGAAAUGCUUAGAGUAUGACAUAGAACACCAAUUGCGAAGGCAGCUGGCUACACAAAUAUUGACACU